ACCCGCUGAACUUAAGCAUAUCAAUAAGCGGAGGAAAAGAAACUAACAAGGAUUCCCCUAGUAACGGCGAGUGAAGCGGGAAGAGCUCAAAUUUGAAAUCUGGUGUCCUCAGGGCGUCCGAGUUGUAAUCUAUAGGAACGUUUUCCGUGCCGGCUCAUGUACAAGUCCCUUGGAACAGGGCGUCAUAGAGGGUGAGAAUCCCGUACUUGACAUGAACUACCGGUGCUCUGUGAUACAUCUCCAACGAGUCGAGUUGUUUGGGAAUGCAGCUCAAAAUGGGUGGUAAAUUCCAUCUAAAGCUAAAUAUUGGUGUGAGACCGAUAGCGAACAAGUACCGUGAGGGAAAGAUGAAAAGCACUUUGGAAAGAGAGUUAAAAAGUAUGUGAAAUUGUUGAAAGGGAAACGAUUGAAGUCAGUCAUGUCCUUCGGAUUCAGCUGGUUCUGCCGGUGUACUUCCGUUGGAUGGGGUCAACAUCAGUUUUGGAUGCCGGAUAAAGGCUGGAGGAAGGUAGUACCCCCGGGUAAACUUAUAGCCUCCUGUCGCAUACGGUGACCGGGACUGAGGAACGCAGCUUGCCUUUAUGGCCGGGGUUCGCCCACGUACAAGCUUAGGAUGUUGACAUAAUGGCUUUAAACGACCCGUCUUGAAACACGG
rnacentral:rRNA from 1 species